CCACUUGAUGAUGCGGAGCUGGUGGAGUACAUCCUCACCAGCCUCGACUUGGACUUCAACCCCAUCAUCUCCACUCUAGUUGCAGGGACGGAGUCUGUUUCUGUAAGUGAACUUUAUGUGCAACUUUUAGCCAUUGAGA
rnacentral:snoRNA from 1 species